UACGUAGGGUGCAAGCGUUAAUCGGAAUUACUGGGCGUAAAGCGUGCGCAGGCGGUUGUGCAAGACCGAUGUGAAAUCCCCGGGCUCAACCUGGGAAUGGCAUUGGUGACUGCACGGCUAGAGUGUGUCAGAGGGGGGUAGAAUUCCACGUGUAGCAGUGAAAUGCGUAGAGAUGUGGAGGAAUACCGAUGGCAAAGGCAGCCCCCUGGGAUAACACUGACGCUCAUGCACGAAAGCGUGGGGAGCAAACAGG
rnacentral:rRNA from 1 species